rnacentral:rRNA from 1 species
GACAGAGGGUGCAAACGUUGUUCGGAAUUACUGGGCGUAAAGCGCGUGUAGGCUGUUUCGCAAGUCGGAUGUGAAAGCCCUGGGCUCAACCUAGGAAGUGCACUCGAAACUGCGAAACUGGAGUCCUGGAGAGGAAGGCGGAAUUCUCGGUGUAGAGGUGAAAUUCGUAGAUAUCGAGAGGAACACCGGUGGCGAAGGGCGGCCUUCUGGACAGUGACUGGACGCUGAGACGCGAAAGCGUGGGGAGCAAACAGG